GGCCCCAUGGUCAAGCGGCUAAGACGUCGCCUUCUCAAGGCGAAAUCAGGGGUUCGAUUCCCCUUGGGGCUACCA
rnacentral:tRNA from 3 species